rnacentral:rRNA from 1 species
UACGGAGGGUGCAAGCGUUGCUCGGAAUUAUUGGGCGUAAAGGGUAGGUAGGUGGUCUCAUUUGUCUGGGGUGAAAGCCUUGGGCUUAACUCAAGAAGUGCCCCAGAAACGGUGAGACUGGAGUCCUGGAGAGGGUCGUGGAAUUCCCGGUGUAGCGGUGAAAUGCGUAGAGAUCGGGAGGAACACCAGAGGCGAAAGCGGCGACCUGGACAGGAACUGACACUCAACUACGAAAGCGUGGGGAGCAAACAGGG